rnacentral:misc_RNA from 1 species
GCCAUCUAGCAAUCGCUGAUCUUAAUCGUUCAGCUCUGCUUUCAGUGGUGGGGUUCACAUGUGAUUCCUAUGCCUCACUUGGUUAGCACUUGGCACCAAGAAAAUUUCCUCAAUUUAUUUAAUUGCAUAGGAACAAACGGGAAACGGUUUGCUUGGUGAUGGACAGAAAGUUCCCGGCAUAAAAUCUGAGAAAAAACAAUGUCACAGGCAGUGGGACCAGACGGUUCUGAUUCUCCGGCAAGAGGAAAUAGCAGUUGCAUGUUCUACAAGUUGAUGAUUGCUUCCAUUCUCCAAGAAAAGAAGCUGGUACUCUCGUUUCACUUGCAUUUCUACUUUCUUGCUUUAAUUUGUUUGGCUACUGAGAAGAUCGAAAUAGAAACUUCUUUCCCUUUUAUUGUAAUUUAUUUUUGAAAUAAUUAUAAAUUUUGUUAGGUUAGCUGAUAUUAUUGUCCUCCCUGUUUGUAAAAUUAGAAUUAAGAUAGGUGUGUGUUUGGUUGGUGGGAAAAUUGGGGGUUACUAUUUUUUACAGUUGUGGUUCAGCUUAGCUUUACCAGAUUAGUCAAUCGACUUUUGCAAUUUUUUACUUUUUCUACAAAUCUUUGGAUGCAUGGUGAUGAUUCUCUGACCUUAUGAUCAAAUAAAGGAAGUCUUUAAAUUUUGUUUGAUUGUUGGAAAAAUCAAGAAAUUGCUAGAGUAGAUUGAAUGCAUAUGGUUCAUUGCAGAGAUUAAAGACGAAAUUGUUGCAUUUGGUCAAUUUUUCGACUUCUGAUCGUUCGCUGACGACGUUUGUGUGUGGACCCUGUCUUACUUGGGUCUUUCUUUUAUCUUUUUUGUUCGUCAUUGGCAGUUUGGUGUAAUUUUUUCUUUCCUCUUUGGCUGUGAACAUCUCCUUUGUCCAUUAUUCUUAGCUGUUUAGUGUUCAAUGGUAUUUUCUUUUUUAUUUGAUGAUGGUUUUAGGAUUUUUUACAUUAUGAGUGGCUUGAAAAUAAUAUCUAUUUUGUUUUAGCUAAUUAAAGAUAUACUUCUUCUUUAUCAUCGCUUGAACAUGGUGAACCUGAACUAUGCCAUGGACUUGGUCUUGGAGAUUCAAUCACAAACAACUCUGACCCUAUUGCAUGCAAGUCUCCCGUAUGGCCAUCUCAUGAAGUGGUGAACAAGGUUUCCUUCAGUCAGACAAGAAAGAUGAGAUAGGUCUUUUAUUGCAUUGUAUAAGUCUUACAAAAUGGAGAUCUCUACACUGCUAAUAGUCUACUUAUCCUGGAAAUAAUAUUCUAGAGUCCGAAUAUACCACUCUUUAGAAAGUUUCUUCAAUUUCUGUAUAUGAUUGCAGUUCAAGGGUACUACCUCUUUUAUAUAGCACUCUUCUGUAGCUAUUUUAUGCUUUGGCAUGUCACAUUGAAGUAACUAUGAGCCUUCCUUUUUAGUCUUUUGUUGCACUUGUUCUUCAAAAAAGCAUUAUUGUAUUAAUGUCUGCUCAUCUCAUCUAAAUGAAGUCCAGAAAGUUUCUGGAAACUCUGGUUGUCAAAUUUAGUCUCAAAAUUCUGGCCUUCUGAAGUUGUUUCUUCUUUGUUAUGAAGUUGACUUUAUUUUUAUGCCAACAGAGGAUCCCUGAAAAGUUUGUCAAGAAAUAUGGAGAUGAACUUUCUUCUAUUGCUACACUUACUGUUCCCAAUGGUCGUAUGUGGCUGGUGGAACUAGAAAAAGUUGACAGGAAGUUAUGGUUCCACAAUGGUUGGCAUGAAUUUGUAGAAUACUACUCCAUUCGUGUUGGGUAUUUCUUGGUCUUCAGAUAUGGAGGGGAAUCAAACUUUAAUGUUUAUAUAUUUGAUCUGGCAGUUUCUGAGAUAAGUUACACAUGUAAUAUUCCGGGUAGUUUGCAGGAACCAUGUCAUGAUAAUCAAUACAUAGUAGCCGAUAAGAGACGUGUAGUGGAUAAUGACCUCAUAGAGAUCUUGGGUUCUGGCCCACCAUGCCAUACUCCUAUUUCCUCAAGAAGCGAAUUUUUUGAUAAAUAUGUGCAUUGCAACUGGACUAUAGCUGGAAACUAUGAGGCCAGCAGAGAGAAACUGCUUCUAAGAAAAGAUAAAUAUGAUAUGGAAGAAAAAGUUCAAUCUUCUCAGGAUAUAGGUGUACAGGUUGAUGAGAGUGAGCUUAUAAGAACUGCUGAUAAAGUUGGUUUGCCUGUCUUGGGUGAAGCAGAAGGGAGAACCAGGAGAAGAAAACAGAGAACUGAUCCUAGUAAGUUCUUGCACUCAAUGCCCUUUUUAUAAUAUGCUACAACUUCACUUUUUUCCAUUACUAACUCAUCCAUGGUGUAGUUGAACAUGAACCAAUAAUCAAACAGGAAGUGGAUGAAAUACCAAUUUGUACAAGUACAAAUAUUGCUUCUGAAACUUUUACAAGAAGGUGGAGACCUGUAACGCCAGAAGAGAAGCGGAGAACAAUUUCUGCUGCUGAUAAGUUCAAGUCUGAUAAUCCAUUUUUCAAGGUUAUCUUGCGACCAUCCUAUGUAUAUAGGGGCUUUCUUCUGCACAUUCCAUCUAGCUUUGCUCGAAAGUAUUUGACAGUCACAGCAUUCAUCACACUUCAGGUUUCUGAUGGAAAACAAUGGCCUGUCCGCUGUGUUAGUGGGAAAGGGGGAGCUAAGUUAAGCAAGGGAUGGACAGAAUUUGUAUGGGAAAAUAGUUUGGAAGAAGGAGAUGUUUGUGUCUUUGAGCUG